rnacentral:lncRNA from 1 species
AUGCCCCUGUGAGGAGUUGUGAGCGGCUAGCGAUGGUCGGCGUACGACGAGGCAGAGGGAGGCCUAAGAGGUAUUGGGGAGAGGUGAUUAGGCAUGACAUGGCUAGAAUGCGGGUUUCCGAGGGGCAGAAGGAGGCCUAAGAGGUAUUGGGGAGAGGUGAUUAGGCAUAACAUGGCUAGAAUGCAGGUUUCCGAGGACAUGGCCCUUGAUAGGAAAGUCUGGAGGUCUAGUAUCAGGGCUGUAGGAUAGGGGCUCCUAGAGUUUUUCGUACUCCUCACCCGGGGUUGGGUGAGGCUUGGCAGGGCU